GGGCCUUCGGAGUUGACCCAAAAACGUUGAGCGGGCCUUCGGAGUUAGCCCAAAAUCGUGGGUUCGAAUCCCACCGGGCCCGCCA
rnacentral:tRNA from 1 species